rnacentral:rRNA from 1 species
GUGGGGAAUAUUGGGCAAUGGGGGAAACCCUGACCCAGCAACGCCGCGUGAAGGAAGAAGGUUUUCGGAUCGUAAACUUCUAUCCUUGGUGAAAAUAAUGAUGGUAGCCAAGAAGGAAGCCCCGGCUAACUACGUGCCAGCAGCCGCGGUAAUACGUAGGGGGCAAGCGUUGUCCGGAAUGAUUGGGCGUAAAGGGCGCGUAGGCGGCCUGGUAAGUCUGGAGUGAAAGUCCUGCUUUUAAGGUGGGAAUUGCUUUGGAUACUGUCGGGCUUGAGUGCAGGAGAGGUAAGUGGAAUUCCCGGUGUAGCGGUGAAAUGCGUAGAGAUCGGGAGGAACACCAGUGGCGAAGGCGACUUACUGGACUGUAACUGACGCUGAGGCGCGAAAGUGUGGGGAGCAAACAGGAUUAGAUACCCCAGUAGUCC